rnacentral:ncRNA from 1 species
AAAGUUAGAGGUUCAAAGGCGGUCAGAUACCGUUCUAGUUUUGACUGUAAACGAUAUCAACUAGCGACUGGGUGCAACGAUUACUAUGGUUCCCUUGGUCGCUUGUUGGGAAACGAAAUCUUUUGGGC